ACAUAUGAAAAAAUAAAGUUGAAAAAUUAAUUUCUUGACACAAACAUAUACAUACUUAUGUGCAUACAUAUCGAAAUAUACAAAAUAUACGGCUUUUAUAAUAAAGAAAAUUGUUUCCCACCCGAAUUUUAUUAUCACCGGUUGAGAUGUAGGAGAUAACACCACUUAUUCGAUAGAAAAACGCAUAAAUACGUGACCAGACCCAAGUGGGUCAGUUAAUUCAAUUUGCUGAACAAUUUUGCUUUGAAAGUUGCUAAUCAAACGGAGUAAAAAUGUUUAACCAUUUUUCAGCGAUUGUUUUUCUUGCAUUAUUUUCAUUUUCUUAUUCACAGUUAGAUUCGCCAGGUCAAUGUAACGACAAAGACAGAAGGGAUGUAUCAGCAGUACAAUUUUUCCAAACAGAGAAGUUUGCAGCGAAUGGGGCGCCAUAUUACCCUGUUUUAGCAAACACAAGAAUCUUCGAUUGCCGGGUCGUACGUUAUACUUCAACCGGUCCUAAAAGUAUGAAUGCCGUUUAUGAACAAAAAAAUGUAACCAGCGGUGUAAAAGUUAAAAGGCAAGGGAAAAUAACAUUGGCAGACAGUUCUUAUUUACAAGGGAUUUUGGAAAUGGAUUAUCCCCAAGAACCUAAACUAUUGCUAUUUAAAGUCAUUGGAAUUACUUACAACGAAUUCGCCAUUCUUUACAGAUGCUCCAAUAUUGACAAGGCUCACAGACGGGGUAAUAAUAACUAAAUCCAUAUAUAUUACUGUAAAAGGCGUAAAACUGAUACAUUUGUUGGUCUCGUUACUCUUUAGUAUCAAAAAUGUUUAAUUUUUUUUAAAAUUUCUGCAUGUGAUAAGCCGCAAGAGAAGUUUGUCAUCAGCACAACUAUCUGACGUGAAGGAAAUGCUUGAAGUUAACGGUCUCGAUAAUAAAUUGCCACUUUUCAGUGUUCAACAGGACCCAAAAGUCUGUGCCUAAUAAAAUAACAAUAAAACUGUAUAUCUUGGGGGAAAUUGAAUAAAAUUAAAUUUAUUAGCAAUGUGAA